rnacentral:rRNA from 4 species
GGGUUGUGAGGUUAAGCGACUAAGCGUACACGGUGGAUGCCCUGGCAGUCAGAGGCGAUGAAGGGCGUGCUAAUCUGCGAUAAGCGCCGGUAAGGUGAUAUGAACCGUUAUAACCGGCGAUACCCGAAUGGGGAAACCCAGUGUGACUCGUCACACUAUCAUUAACUGAAUCCAUAGGUUAAUGAGGCGAACCGGGGGAACUGAAACAUCUAAGUACCCCGAGGAAAAGAAAUCAACCGAGAUUCCCCCAGUAGCGGCGAGCGAACGGGGAGGAGCCCAGAGCCUGAAUCAGCAUGUGUGUUAGUGGAAGCGUCUGGAAAGGCGCGCGAUACAGGGUGACAGCCCCGUACACAAAAGCGCAUGUGCUGUGAGCUCGAUGAGUAGGGCGGGACACGUGGUAUCCUGUCUGAAUAUGGGGGGACCAUCCUCCAAGGCUAAAUACUCCUGACUGACCGAUAGUGAACCAGUACCGUGAGGGAAAGGCGAAAAGAACCCCGGCGAGGGGAGUGAAAAAGAACCUGAAACCGUGUACGUACAAGCAGUGGGAGCCCCACCACUAAGCCAGUGGUGAACUCCACAUCCGCAUCCUUUGCUGAGGAUACGGUUAACGGAGCGAAAGCGACGUUCAACCGCAAAACAAGCAGAGGGGGCUUAGUGGUGGGGUGACUGCGUACCUUUUGUAUAAUGGGUCAGCGACUUAUAUUCUGUAGCAAGGUUAACCGAAUAGGGGAGCCGGAGGGAAACCGAGUCUUAAUUGGGCGUUAAGUUGCAGGGUAUAGACCCGAAACCCGGUGAUCUAGCCAUGGGCAGGUUGAAGGUUGGGUAACACUAACUGGAGGACCGAACCGACUAAUGUUGAAAAAUUAGCGGAUGACCUGUGGCUGGGGGUGAAAGGCCAAUCAAACCGGGAGAUAGCUGGUUCUCCCCGAAAGCUAUUUAGGUAGCGCCUCGUGAAUUCAUCUCCGGGGGUAGAGCACUGUUUCGGCUAGGGGGCCAUCCCGGCUUACCAACCCGAUGCAAACUGCGAAUACCGGAGAAUGUUAUCACGGGAGACACACGGCGGGUGCUAACGUCCGUCGUGAAGAGGGAAACAACCCAGACCGCCAGCUAAGGUCCCAAAGUCAUGGUUAAGUGGGAAACGAUGUGGGAAGGCCCAGACAGCCAGGAUGUUGGCUUAGAAGCAGCCAUCAUUUAAAGAAAGCGUAAUAGCUCACUGGUCGAGUCGGCCUGCGCGGAAGAUGUAACGGGGCUAAACCAUGCACCGAAGCUGCGGCAGCGACGCUGAUGCGUUGUUGGGUAGGGGAGCGUUCUGUAAGCCUGCGAAGGUGACCUGUGAGGGUUGCUGGAGGUAUCAGAAGUGCGAAUGCUGACAUAAGUAACGAUAAAGCGGGUGAAAAGCCCGCUCGCCGGAAGACCAAGGGUUCCUGUCCAACGUUAAUCGGGGCAGGGUGAGUCGACCCCUAAGGCGAGGCCGAAAGGCGUAGUUGAUGGGAAACGGGUUAAUAUUCCCGUACUUGGUGUUACUGCGAAGGGGGGACGGAGAAGGCUAUGUUGGCCGGGCGACGGUUGUCCCGGUUUAAGCGUGUAGGUGUGUGUUCCAGGUAAAUCCGGUUCACUUUAACACUGAGGCGUGAUGACGAGGCACUACGGUGCUGAAGCAACAAAUGCCCUGCUUCCAGGAAAAGCCUCUAAGCAUCAGGUAACAUCAAAUCGUACCCCAAACCGACACAGGUGGUCAGGUAGAGAAUACCAAGGCGCUUGAGAGAACUCGGGUGAAGGAACUAGGCAAAAUGGUGCCGUAACUUCGGGAGAAGGCACGCUGACACGUAGGUGAAGUGAUUUACUCAUGGAGCUGAAGUCAGUCGAAGAUACCAGCUGGCUGCAACUGUUUAUUAAAAACACAGCACUGUGCAAACACGAAAGUGGACGUAUACGGUGUGACGCCUGCCCGGUGCCGGAAGGUUAAUUGAUGGGGUCAGCGCAAGCGAAGCUCCUGAUCGAAGCCCCGGUAAACGGCGGCCGUAACUAUAACGGUCCUAAGGUAGCGAAAUUCCUUGUCGGGUAAGUUCCGACCUGCACGAAUGGCGUAAUGAUGGCCAGGCUGUCUCCACCCGAGACUCAGUGAAAUUGAACUCGCUGUGAAGAUGCAGUGUACCCGCGGCAAGACGGAAAGACCCCGUGAACCUUUACUAUAGCUUGACACUGAACAUUGAGCCUUGAUGUGUAGGAUAGGUGGGAGGCUUUGAAGUGUGGACGCCAGUCUGCAUGGAGCCGACCUUGAAAUACCACCCUUUAAUGUUUGAUGUUCUAACGUGGACCCGUAAUCCGGGUUGCGGACAGUGUCUGGUGGGUAGUUUGACUGGGGCGGUCUCCUCCUAAAGAGUAACGGAGGAGCACGAAGGUUGGCUAAUCCUGGUCGGACAUCAGGAGGUUAGUGCAAUGGCAUAAGCCAGCUUGACUGCGAGCGUGACGGCGCGAGCAGGUGCGAAAGCAGGUCAUAGUGAUCCGGUGGUUCUGAAUGGAAGGGCCAUCGCUCAACGGAUAAAAGGUACUCCGGGGAUAACAGGCUGAUACCGCCCAAGAGUUCAUAUCGACGGCGGUGUUUGGCACCUCGAUGUCGGCUCAUCACAUCCUGGGGCUGAAGUAGGUCCCAAGGGUAUGGCUGUUCGCCAUUUAAAGUGGUACGCGAGCUGGGUUUAGAACGUCGUGAGACAGUUCGGUCCCUAUCUGCCGUGGGCGCUGGAGAACUGAGGGGGGCUGCUCCUAGUACGAGAGGACCGGAGUGGACGCAUCACUGGUGUUCGGGUUGUCAUGCCAAUGGCACUGCCCGGUAGCUAAAUGCGGAAGAGAUAAGUGCUGAAAGCAUCUAAGCACGAAACUUGCCCCGAGAUGAGUUCUCCCUGAGACUUUAGGUCUCCUGAAGGAACGUUGAAGACGACGACGUUGAUAGGCCGGGUGUGUAAGCGCAGCGAUGCGUUGAGCUAACCGGUACUAAUGAACCGUGAGGCUUAACCUUACAACGCCGAAG